UUUAUUAUCACAUCAUAACAUAAUUCAAUAUUAUGCUGGCAGUACAACCUAUCAAGAUUUCAUAAUCACUUCCAGAGAAAAUAUAAACUAAAAUGUUACGCUGGCGGUACAAACUCCCAAAGGUUCAUUAUAAUAUCAUCAUAUAAAUGAUAAAUGAACUUAAAAAUGUUACACUGGCGGUUCAACCUUCCAAAUGCCUUUAUAAAAUCAACAAAUAAUUCAUUCUACUCAAAAAUUCAACUUAAAAUGUUACGCUGGCGGUACAAACUCUCCAAUUUUAUAAUCACUUCAACAGAAAAAUUUAACUGAAAACGUUUGCUUGCAGUCCAAACUCCCCAAGGUUCAGUAUAACAUCAACAAAUAAUUCAACUUAAAUGUUACGCUGGCGGUACAAACACCCAAAGGUUCAUUAUAACAUCACCAAAUAAAUAAUUUCACUUAAAAAAAAGUUACGCUGGCAGUAGAAACUUCCAAAGGUUCAUAACAUCACCAAAUGAAUCAUUCCACUUAAAAUGUUACGCUGGCGGUACAAACUCACAAAUUCAUAAUCACUUUGACAGAAAAAUAAAACUAAAAUGUUACGCCGGCGGUACAAACUCCAGGUUCAUAAUCACAUAGACAGAUAAUUCUUUGAAAAUGUUACGCUGGCGGUACAAACUCACAAAGGUUCAUUAUAGCAUCACCAAAUAAAUCAUUUCACUUUAAAUGUUACGCUGGCGGUACAAACUCACAAAAUUCAUAAUCACUUUGACAGAAAAAUAAAACUAAAAUGUUACGCCGGCGGUACAAACUCCCCAA